rnacentral:rRNA from 1 species
GGAGGAGCCCGCGCCCGAUUAGCUAGUUGGUGAGGUAACGGCUCACCAAGGCAAUGAUCGGUAGCUGGUCUGAGAGGAUGAUCAGCCACACUGGAACUGAGACACGGUCCAGACUCCUACGGGAGGCAGCAGUGGGGAAUCUUGCACAAUGGGCGAAAGCCUGAUGCAGCGACGCCGCGUGGGGGAUGAAGCUUUUCGGAGUGUAAACCCCUUUCGACUGGGACGAAAACCCGCAAGGGAUUGACGGUACCAGUAUAAGAAGCCCCGGCUAACUACGUGCCAGCAGCCGCGGUAAGACGUAGGGGGCCAGCGUUGUUCGGAAUCACUGGGUGUAAAGGGUGCGUAGGCGGUCCGUUAAGUCUGAUGUGAAAGCCCUGGGCUCAACUCAGGAACUGCAUUGGAAACUGGCGGGCUUAGAGUACCGGAGAGGGAAGCGGAAUUCCUGGUGUAGCGGUGAAAUGCGUAGAUACCAGGAGGAACACCGGUGGCGAAGGCGGUUUCCUGGCCGAGUGCUGACGCUGAGGCACGAAAGCGUGGGGAGCGAACGGG